UUUUCAUCUCCAAGUCUGGCUACUGCAGAUGCAGAAUGAAAAACGAGCCAAUAACACAGCAAACCCGGGCAACUCGGCACGAAAGGCAAUAACCGUGAUGCACAGAAGACCGGGUUUCCACCACCCUGAGCCAAGGAGGCCUCUGCCAUGGAGAGAGGCCGUCAGAGACCAGUGUCCGGCAGCGCCCUGCCUGGCCCCGGAGCCUGGGGCAAAAGGGAACCUUAGGACCACCGACCCUUUUCCUCCAAAACUUCAAUAUUUCCUUCCUCAUAGAUAUCUUGCAUUCAUUUUGCAUUAACUUUAUUUAAAACAUUGCAUUAAAACAUCAUUUCUGCCUCUCUCCUCACACUGGUCCCACCCUGGCCUCUCUGUGGGAUGUUCCUGCCACCCUGACCCCUCUCCAGCCCUCCAGACACUGAUGGCUGCAAGCUUUACAUGGGUGGCCCACCAGGCCCUGCAGCAAGUGACCCUCCUGCAAGCUCCUCCUGUCCCCAGAGUGUCUGUUGUCACCAGGACACAUCAAAAUGGCUGAACACUAGGUGGCUCCACUCCCAAGGGGCAUUUUGGAACUUCAGGAAGGGCUGUUUUGAGUUGUCACAAUGACCUUCAGUAAAUACACAGGCCAGCCCUGCAGGUAACUCUGUCCCUGGUCUCGCCAGACGUUCAGGAAAGCAUCUCCUGUGUCCAUUGAAGGGAGGACACGUUGCUGCAUUUGGAACUUGACCACCUGGGAAAGUCACAUCACAGGUACAUGCUCAGCUGCUGGAGGCCGGAACGCCAGGCCUGGCCCGUCCGCAUCAGCCAUGGGGGCUGGCGCGGGGAUAAGAUGACACAGGCAUGCCUCGGGGGGCUUCUGGGCUCCCCCUGGAGACAGAGCCAGGCCUUUACAUAUUGAAAAACAUAUGAUUUUAUCAUACAAUUUCCCUUUAAUUCCUCCUCCAUAUAACAGGGCGUUAUGUUGACUCUUGCAAAA